rnacentral:lncRNA from 1 species
AGCAAACUCAAAUAUAUUUAUUAUCAUGGUGUCCAAGGCACAAAAGCAUUCAGAGUCUUACAGUGUUGCAAAAAGAAAAUCUCUUACUACUUCUCCAUGUUUCUUGGCAAUGUACUGGCACUGUUGGCUUUGGAGGUGCUCACAGUAGGUAAUUCUUACAGUGCUGAUCUCACCUUCCUGGAAUCUCACUGAAUAGUGUCUCAGGCCUCUGGCUGAGACAUUCUAGUUCCAGCCAUGAUAAUAAAAUCCAUGAGAAAUUAAAGAAUUGAAAAUAAGGUAAUUUGGACUCCUCCCUCCAGUUAGCAGCCAUCAGAGCUGGUGUCAGGGCAGAGUGUUCCUGCAUGAAAAGGAUGUCACCCAGCUUAUAAACUGCCUCAAGACUCUUGCCCAUUUUCCUAAUCACAGAGGACGAGACAAAGGUCAGAUCCUUUUAGGUCUCUCCAUGCCUGGGCCAUCUGCAGAUGUAGGGAAAUAAAAAUAGAUUCACAACCUUAAUUCUUGCUCAUGAUCAAAUGUGGGCCACAAAUACUUCAUCACUCUUUGUCUACUUAUCUGCUCUAUUGAAGGCACAAGGGGUGUUUUGGCUUCUGGCAGAUGAACCAGCCAAACCAAAUUAUCAAAAUAAUUUUGUGAAAAAAGGAUCUUAAUACAUGGAAUUUUUUAAUGCUAUGAACAUUAAAAACAAAUAGUCAGAAAUUAUUCCCAGAUUUUGUUUUCUGUGCCACAACCCUGCAGUGCCCCAGAAAAGGAAACUUCAAGCAGUCGAUCAGCUUUGCAGCCCUGGCUUAAUCUGCCUGUUACCAAUCUACCUCCACAGGGCCCAAGGAGAGAUUAAAUACCACCAGUUGGAAGUUGGACCUGACUGGAGUGCACUGCAAGACCUUUGGAGAAUCUGACAGAGAAAUAUGUUUUGUGAUAGCAUCAAGAUUCCCAGUCACAAAAUGUCCAUUGAAACAGCAUUUUCCAUUUGCACAGAGGAUGAAAACUGACCUAAUAUGGAGGUCAGGACCAAACAUGAAAAAACCCCCAAAGAUUAAGCUGCCUUUUAAUAAAACUGACAGUAAAUACAAUUAAGGUGAUAAGCUUAUUUCACUGGUGCUUAAAGAAUCCUUUACUUGGUAUGCAAAGAGGAAGAAGGCACAAAAGGUUAAAGAAUGCUUUUAUUCAGCUUUCACAGUUCUAAACAGUAAACAUAAUUAACAAUACACCAAUGGUAUCAGAGAACAUAGUCCUGGUAUCAGUAAAACAUCUACUGUUUAAGGCACUGGUAGUGGGAAGAAAGAAAGACAUAACAUGGAUUGUUCUUUCUUAAUCAGAAUUUGAAUCUAUUAUGAAUAUGUGCUUGCUAUUCAAUGCUUAGAAACCCACAAGCUACAUUCACAAACAAAUGUUUAUACAAGUUCCAUAAUUAGAGAGACAGGAAUCAGUGGCUCCCUUACUUUGACUCUAGAGCAAGUAUUGCUUUUCUUUGGAGUGGAAUCAAUUUUUAGCCUACUAAAAGAAACCAAAACACAAAUUACUUCAGCAGUAUGGCUUUAAGACCCUGUGUUUGGUUACAAUAUAGCAAGCCAAGUUAAAUAACAGCAUACAAGUGCCAUAUACUGUCAUUUUAAAAGAAGCAGUUUUAUAAUAUAAAAAUUAGUUUAGAACAUACUAAACCCAGUUUUUGUACAAACAUUUUUACAAAACUGAAUUGCUAAAAAAACAUUCAAGAACAUUUUAAAUAUGAAUCACACUUUACAUGUUGUAUGCAUAAAAUUACUUAUCUUGAUGAUAUAAAUUAGGGAUACUACAAAAUUUUUAAAGCUGGCAUUCAUAUGCUAUUGAAAUGUACGCAUCAGAAAUACUGAAACGUUCUGCAGAAAUCUUUAAGAGAAAGAGUCACUUUUAUAUUUGCCAAAUUGAUGUACGGUGACAUCGGUUUCUAAAGGAGCCACAGUGACCUCCCGUGGCCACCUAAGAAAUCCCUGUCCUUAAGCUUUUUUUCCAUUUUGUACAUGACAUUCCACAUAAAUGCCAAUAAACUCAAAAGGUACAACA